rnacentral:sRNA from 1 species
ACAAAAAAACAAAGAAAAAAAGUGCGCGGGCUGGGUUUUUUCCGUGGGUCCUCUCGUUGUUUGCCCCUUCCGUAGGUGAACCUGCGGAAGGAUCAUUAUCUAGUUGAGGGGCCUCUGGGUCCAACCUCCCACCCGUGUCUAUUGUACCUUGUUGCUUCGGCGGGCCCGCCGUUUCGACGGCCGCCGGGGAGGCCUCGCGCCCCCGGGCCCGCGCCCGCCGAAGACCCCAACAUGAACGCUGUUCUGAAAGUAUGCAGUCUGAGUUGAUUAUCAUAAUCAGUUAAAACUUUCAACAACGGAUCUCUUGGUUCCGGCAUCGAUGAAGAACGCAGCGAAAUGCGAUAAGUAAUGUGAAUUGCAGAAUUCAGUGAAUCAUCGAGUCUUUGAACGCACAUUGCGCCCCCUGGUAUUCCGGGGGGCAUGCCUGUCCGAGCGUCAUUGCUGCCCUCAAGCACGGCUUGUGUGUUGGGCCGCCGUCCCCGGUUCUCCCCCGGGGACGGGCCCGAAAGGCAGCGGCGGCACCGCGUCCGGUCCUCGAGCGUAUGGGGCUUCGUCACCCGCUCUGUAGGCCCGGCCGGCGCCAGCCGACACCCAACUUUAUUUCUAAGGUUGACCUCGGAUCAGGUAGGGAUAGCCCUUUCUGAACUUAAGCAUAUCAAUAAGCGGAGGAAAAAACCGGGGCCGAGCGCCCGGGGACGCCCCGCGGGGCGGCGCGCCCGGAGCCCGGCGGCGCCAGCUGCCUCUUAAUUUUUUUAUUACUACAC